rnacentral:lncRNA from 1 species
GUCUGAAGAGAGGCGUCCAUGUUCACACCAGGAGGUGAAAAGAAGCUGGAGCCACAGUGAUGAGUGAGACCUACGUGAAGAGGCUGUCCACCAUCCUGCUGGACGCCAUCACUGACAAGGACCCUCGGGUGCAGGAGCAGGUAUGUGGCGCCCUGUGCGCCCUCGGAGAGUCGCAGCCAGCGGAGGUGCUUAGCGCCUGUGAGGAGCACCUGCGGCUGCACGAAAAGCUAGCUCAUCCAUACCGGACAAUGAUCCUAAGGGCCAUGGAGAUAGUCGUGAGCGAUCACAUCGGCGAGCUGGACAAGGACAUGGCCAGGGCCAUCAUCCUCCUGGCCUCCAAUGAGAUGACCAAAGUGAAGGAGCUGGUCUCUGAUUGGCAGCAAGCCGCCAGCAGCGUCCUGGUGGCGGUGGGGAGGCGGUUCAUCAGCAGCGUGAUGGAGGAGCUGCUGAGCAAGUUCCAGCCCGGGCUCCUGCCGCACCCCUGCACCAUGCACACACUCGCCAGCCUCUCCGUCUCCAAUGUGUUUGGCAUGGUGCCCUUCCUGACGUCCAUCCUCAGCACCAUGCUGCCCAUGCUGGGCGCAGCCAAGCACGACUCAAUGAAAGUGGUGUUCUGCUGUGCUCUGCAGCGCUUCAGUGAGAGCACCCUGGAGUACCUGGCCAACCUGGAUCAGGCCCCAGACCCCACAGUCAGAAAGGACGCCUUUGCCUCAGACAUCUCUGGUGCUUACGACAUCCUUUUCCACCAGUGGCUACAGAGCCGGGAAGCGAAGCUGCGGCUCGCAGUGGUGGAGGCCCUGGGGCCCAUGAGCCACCUGCUCCCCAGCGAGAAGCUGGAGGAGCAGCUCCCCAAGCUGCUGCCCGGCGUGCUCGCCCUCUACAAGAAGCACGCCGAGACCGUCCACGUGUCCAAGAGCCUCGGCCAGAUCCUGGAGGCAGCCGUGAGCGUGGGCAGCCGCACUCUGGACGUCCAGCUUGACUCUCUCCUUGUCGCUCUGCACACUCAGAUCUGCGUGCCUGUGGAGUCAUCCAGCCCACUGGUGAUGAGCAACCAGAAGGAGGUGCUGCGCUGCUUCACGGUGCUGGCCUGCUACUCGCCGGACCGCCUGCUGGCCUUCCUGCUGCCCAAGCUGGACACCAGCAACGAGAGGACCCGUGUGGGCACCCUGCAGGUCCUGAGGCACGUCAUCAACGCGGCGGCUGCUCAGAUGGAAGUUAAGAAACCCUUCAUUCUUUCCUCCAUGAAGCUCCCUCUUCUGGACACCAACAACAAGGUGAAGCGGGCAGUGGUGCAGGUGGUCAGCGCCAUGGCCCACCACGGCUACCUGGAGCAGCCUGGCGGCAAGGCCAUGGUCGAAUACAUCGUGCAGCAGUGCGCUCUGCCCCCCGAGGCUGAGACUCAGAAGCCGGGUGCGGACAGUGAGGCCCUGGCGGCCGACAGCGUGCGGGCCAUCAGCGUCAGCACCCUCUACCUGGUCAGCACCACCGUGGACAGGAUGGGCGAGGUCCUCUGGCCGUACCUGCUUGAGUUCCUGGUCCCCAUUCGCUUCACCGGGGCGCUGAGCCCGCUCUGCAGGAGCCUUGUGCACUUGGCCCAGAAGAGGCAGGAGGCGGGGGCCCAUGCCCCCCUCAUCCAGUACAACGGCAAUGUGCACCUCCCGUCUCCCUACGCCAUCACCACCAGACUCCUGGUCGUAUCUUCCAAUCCCUAUGUGGGGGACGGUCGUGGAGCAGCCUCACUGCGCCUCCUGAGUGUCUUGCAUCAGGAUAUCCACCCGGCCCUGGGUCAGCGGUGGGCGACCGCCAUCCCCCUGCUGCUGGAACACCUGGACGAAUACAGUGAAGAAACCCUGCCACAGGAGGAGUGGGAAGAAAAGCUGCUGAUGUUUCUCCGGGAUUCCCUGGCUGUCGUGUCUGACAACACCUGGGUCUGCCAGCUGACCCUGGAAAUGUGCAAGCAGCUACCCAACUACAACGGGAUGCCCCUGGAGAAGAACUUCCUGUACAAAUGUGUCGGGACCACCCUGGGUGCCGCUUCAAGUAAGGAGGUGGUGAGGAAGCACCUGCAGGAGCUGCUGGAGACGGCCAGAUACCAGGAGGAGAGGGAGCGUGAGGGCCUUGCCUGUUGCUUUGGGAUCUGUGCCAUCUCCCACCUGGAUGACACCCUGGCCCAGCUGGAAGACUUUGUGAAGUCAGACGUGCUCAGAAAAUCUGCCGGCAUUUUCAGCAUUUUUAAGGAUCGGAGUGAGAGUGAGGCCGACAGAGUGAGGAGCGCGCUGAUUCUGUGCUACGGGCACGUGGCGGCCCGGGCCCCGCGCGAGCUGCUGCUGGCCAGGGUGGAGGCAGACGUGUUUCGGAACAUGUCCCAGUGCUUCAGCACCAAGGUUCUGGGGAUAAAGGUAGAGACCAAGGACCCGGCCCUGAGACUGAGCCUGGUGCAGAGUGUGUGCAUGGCCACCCAGGCCAUCUGCAGCAGCGCCCACGGCGGCUCCUUCCACCUCUUGAGGAAGGCGGAGCUGGUGGCGCAGAUGGUGGAGUUCAUCAAAGCGGAGCCCCCAGACUCGCUGAGGACGCCCAUUCGGAAGAAGGCCAUGCUAGCCUGCAUGUACCUGGUUACCCUGGAGCCGGCCCUGGAGGAGCAGGUGCAGGCGGACCUGAUUCACAGCUGCCUGCACAGUGUCAUGGCCGUGCUGCCUGAACCAGAGGAGGGGGACAGCCUCCAGGAGCUAUCAGUGGCCCCCACGGUGGCCCUGUCCAGGGGUGGGGGGUCACAGCAGGACUGGCAGCUUCUCUUCUUCCAGUCCCUGUACCUGGACACCAUGCAGGCCCUCAAGGACUUGCUGACGAGCCUCCUUCAGCGGAACAUGACGCCCCAGGGUCUGCAGGUCAUGGUGGAGCACCUGAGCCCGUGGAUCAAGUCCCCGAAGGGCCACGAGCGGGUGCGGGCGCUUGGCCUGAGUGCCUGCCUGCUGCAGUUCUUCCUAGAACACCUGCAGAUCAGCGCCCUGGUGCCCUUCCACAACCUGGGCCUCCUCGUUGGCCUCUUCUCCCCACGGUGCGCCGACCUCUGGCCUGCCACUCGCCGAGAGGCUGUGAGCUGCGUCCACUCCCUGCUGUACCUGCAGCUGGGCUAUGAGGGCUUCUCGCGAGACUACCGGGAUGACGUGGCUGAGCAGCUCCUCAGCCUCAAGGAUGGCCUGGUGCACCCUGACCCUGCCAUUCUCUUCCAUACCUGCCACAGCAUCGCCCAGAUUAUCGCCAAGCGCCUCCCACCAGAUCAGCUCAUCAGCCUCUUGCUAACCUUGUUUGAGGGCCUGGGAGAUCCUGACAAGAACUGCUCGCGAGCCGCCACUGUCAUGAUCAACUGCUUGCUGAAGGAGCGGGGCAACAUGCUGCAGGAGAAGGUGCCCGAGAUUGUGAGCGUGCUGCGCUCGAAGAUGCAGGAGACCCGAGAGGAGCACGUCCUACAAGCUGCACAGCACAGCGUGUUUGUCCUGGCCGCCCACCACCGCGCCGCGGUGGUGUCCAGCCUUCUGGGCAGCCCCCUGCCCUUUGACAGCCACACCUGCACCCUGUGGCGAGCACUGGCCUUGGAGCCCGGCCUCGCUGCACAGGUCUUGGGGCUGCUCCUGGAGAAGAUAAGCAGGGACGUCCCGUUCAAGGAGAGCCGGGCCUUCCUGCUGAGCAGCACGCCGGACCGCGUGGCCACCCUGCUGCCCCUCGCGGCCACCUGUGCACUGCACGAGGUCGCAUCUGCCCCGGCGUCAGGGCCAGCGGUGCUGGAGCUCUACCCCCAGCUGUUUGUGGCACUGCUGCUGCGGGUCAGCUGCACCAUGGGUGUCCAGCCGCCCCGGCACCUGCAGGCCAAGGAGAGGAGGAGCGCCAGCUCGGGCCUGGCUUCACGGAGCCUCGAGCCUUGCAGCUCUGCGGUGGAUGCGCUGCAGGCUGUGCUUAUCCGCAGCGGCAACGAGGACGUGGUGCAGCACAUGGAGCUGGAUGGGGGCUGGCAGCUGCUCAAGACCUCGGCUGGGCACGAGGAGGGCGUCACCCGGCUGGCCAGUGCCAUGGCCAAGUUUGCAGGCCCCCGGCUGCCCCUGGUGAUGAAGGUGCUCUUCGCCACAAAGAGCAGCGUGUAUGAGGUCCAGAGGAUCACCUCCACAGCCUUCCUGGCUGAGCUGCUCAGCAGCAACGUGGUGAACGACCUGAUGCUCCUGGAGUCGCUGCUGGACAACCUGAUGGCACAGCAGAAGGACACGAGCGCCCGCGUACGGAGGCUGGUGCUCCGCGGCCUGGCCAACGUUGCCUUGGGCUCCCCAGAUAAGGUACGGACCCACGGCCCCCAACUCCUGACUGCCAUGAUUGGUGGGCUGGACGACGGGGACGACCCACACAGCCUGGUGGCGCUGGAGGCCAUGGUGGGCCUGGCAAGGCUGAUGGACCUGGUAGACGCCUGGGACCUGCGUGCGGUGCUGCUGCACAUUGCUGUCCGCAUCCGGCCCUUCUUUGACAGUGAAAGGAUGGAGUUCCGCUCAGCGUCCAUCCGCCUCUUUGGGCACCUCAACAAGGCCUGCCGUGGGGACUGCGAGGAUGUCUUUCUGGAGCAGGUUGUGGGUGGCCUGGCGCCCCUUCUGCUGCACCUGCAGGACCCCCAGGCCCCUGUGGUCGCGGCCUGCAGGUUCGCCUUGCGCAUGUGCGGCCCCAACCUGGACUGUGAGGAGCUGGCAGCUGUCUUCCAGAAGCACCUGCAGGAAGGCCGCGGCCUGCACUUUGGAGAGUUUCUCAAUACCACCUGCAAGCACCUGAUGCGCCACUUCCCCGACCUGCUGGGCCGCUUGCUGAGCACCAGUCUGUUCUACUUCAAGAGCAGCUGGGAGGAUGUCCGUGCUGCUGCCCCCAUGCUCACAGGGUUCUUGGUGCUGCACGUGGAGGCUGAGCAGCGGCCACAGGUGGACCUGGAGCAGCUCCUCGCGGCGCUCCAGCUGCUGCUCAAGGACCCAGCCCCCGAGGUGCGUGCGAAGGCUGCGGAGACUCUGGGCCGCCUGGUGAAGUUCGCCUGAGUCUGCCCCAACACCCAAUACCGGCCU